rnacentral:rRNA from 1 species
CGUGCCCUAAUACAUGCAGUCGAGCGGAUCGAUGGGAGCUUGCUCCCUGAGAUCAGCGGCGGACGGGUGAGUAACACGUGGGUAACCUGCCUGUAAGACUGGGAUAACUCCGGGAAACCGGGGCUAAUACCGGAUAACACCUACCCCCGCAUGGGGGAAGGUUGAAAGGUGGCUUCGGCUAUCACUUACAGAUGGACCCGCGGCGCAUUAGCUAGUUGGUGAGGUAAUGGCUCACCAAGGCGACGAUGCGUAGCCGACCUGAGAGGGUGAUCGGCCACACUGGGACUGAGACACGGCCCAGACUCCUACGGGAGGCAGCAGUAGGGAAUCUUCCGCAAUGGACGAAAGUCUGACGGAGCAACGCCGCGUGAGUGAAGAAGGUUUUCGGAUCGUAAAACUCUGUUGUUAGGGAAGAACAAGUGCCGUUCGAAUAGGGCGGCGCCUUGACGGUACCUAACCAGAAAGCCACGGCUAACUACGUGCCAGCAGCCGCGGUAAUACGUAGGUGGCAAGCGUUGUCCGGAAUUAUUGGGCGUAAAGCGCGCGCAGGUGGUUUCUUAAGUCUGAUGUGAAAGCCCACGGCUCAACCGUGGAGGGUCAUUGGAAACUGGGGAACUUGAGUGCAGAAGAGGAAAGUGGAAUUCCAAGUGUAGCGGUGAAAUGCGUAGAUAUUUGGAGGAACACCAGUGGCGAAGGCGACUUUCUGGUCUGUAACUGACACUGAGGCGCGAAAGCGUGGGGGAGCAAACAGGAUUAGAUACCCUGGUAGUCCACGCCGUAAACGAUGAGUGCUAAGUGUUAGAGGGUUUCCGCCCUUUAGUGCUGCAGCUAACGCAUUAAGCACUCCGCCUGGGGAGUACGGUCGCAAGACUGAACUCAAAGGAAUUGACGGGGGCCCGCACAAGCGGUGGAGCAUGUGUUUAAUUCGAAGGCACGCGAAGAACCC